rnacentral:rRNA from 1 species
GGUUGCGAUCAUACCAGCACUAAAGCACCGGAUCCCAUCAGAACUCCGAAGUUAAGCGUGCUUGGGCGAGAGUAGUACUAGGAUGGAUGACCUCUUGGGAAGUCCUCGUGUUGCAUUCC